AGAAAAACUGUAAAGAAUAAAGCUAAGACGAUAAUUCUGCUUUGGUCUGGAUUCUUCCUCUGUGCUCUCAGAACCUCUUCAGGCAAUAAGCCUGAGGAGGAAGACGUCGGUUGGAGCAGGAGUGGCAGAACUUCGGAGAUGUAUGGCUAUAACCUGGAUAUACAGCCUGGAUUACAGAAAGCUGCCUUAGGAACUUGUGAGUGGAUGGCUGCAAGUGGAGGAAGGAUGCUGAAGUCACUGUCCAAAGAAAAGCUGCCCAGGACUCAGCCAACUCAUAUCCGGUUUGCUGUGAGUAGGAA